rnacentral:rRNA from 1 species
AUUAGCCUACGGGAGGCAGCAGUGGGGGAUAUUGCACAAUGGGGGAAACCCUGAUGCAGCGACGCCGCGUGUGGGAAGACGGUCCUCUGGAUUGUAAACCACUGUCCCCAGGGACGAAAAUGACGGUACCUGACCAAGAAGCCCCGGCUAACUACGUGCCAGCAGCCGCGGUAAUACGUAGGGGGCAAGCGUUAUCCGGAUUUACUGGGUGUAAAGGGAGCGUAGACGGCAGGGCAAGUCUGGAGUGAAAGGCGGGGGCUCAACCCCCGGACUGCUCUGGAAACUGCCAGGCUGGGGUGCAGGAG